AAGUCGUAACAAGGUUUCUGUAGGUGAACCUGCAGAAGGAUCAUUAGUGAAGAUUUGGGCAGGCCAUACGGACGCCAAAAAGUGUCCCUGGCCGCCUACACCCACUAUACAUCCACAAACCCGUGUGCACUGUCUUGGAGAAAGGCUUCAGAGAAGUUUUUUGUGGCCUCUCUUGGGGUCUUUCUUCGCUACAAACUCGAAUGGUUAGUAUGAACGUGGAACUUGGUUGGACCGUCACUGGCCAACAAACUAUACACAACUUUCGACAACGGAUCUCUUGGUUCUG
rnacentral:misc_RNA from 1 species